AGUUGAUCCAAAGGUUGUGGGUUAUGGUUAUUGAUUUAACAUUGUCUCCCCACACAACCCAACUUGUCUAGCUUAAA
rnacentral:Y_RNA from 1 species